rnacentral:rRNA from 1 species
UACGGAAGGUGCAAGCGUUAAUCGGAAUCACUGGGCGAAACGGGUGCGUAGGCGGGUUAUCAAGUCUCGAGUGAAAUCCAACGGCUCAACCGUUGGACUGCUUGGGAAACUGGUAGCCUAGAGAGAGGGAGAGGCAGAUGGAAUUGGUGGUGUAGGGGUAAAAUCCGAAGAGAUCACCAGGAAUACCCAUAGCGAAGGCGAUCUGCUGGAACUCAACUGACGCUGAGGCACGAAAGCGUGGGGAGCAAAC